AGUGAACGCUGGCGGUAGGCCUAACACAUGCAAGUCGAACGGCAGCACAGUAAGAGCUUGCUCUUACGGGUGGCGAGUGACGGACGGGUGAGGAAUACAUCGGCAUCUACUUUUUCGGGGGGGAUAACGGAGGGAAACUUACGCUAAUACCGCAUACGACCUACGGGUGAAAGCAGGGGAUCUUCGGACCUUGCGCGAUUGAAUGAGCCGAUGUCGGAUUAGCUAGUUGGCGGGGUAAAGGCCCACCAAGGCGACGAUCCGUAGCUGGUCUGAGAGGAUGAUCAGCCACACUGGAACUGAGACACGGUCCAGACUCCUACGGGAGGCAGCAGUGGGGAAUAUUGGACAAUGGGCGCAAGCCUGACCCAGCCAUCCCGCGUGGGUGAAGAAGGCCUUCGGGUUGUAAAGCCCUUUUGUUGGGAAAGAACAGCAGCAGGCUAAUACCCCGCUGUUCUGACGGUACCUAAAGAAUAAGCACCGGCUAACUUCGUG
rnacentral:rRNA from 1 species